GUGCUUACUUUGGCAGCACAUGUACUAAAAUUGGGAUGACACAAAGAUUAGCAUAGCCCCUGUGCAAGGAUGACACGUAAAUUCUUGAGGCAUUCCAUGUUUAA